rnacentral:rRNA from 1 species
CUACGGGUUGCUGCAGUGGGGAAUAUUGGACAAUGGACGAAAGUCUGAUGCAGCAACGCCGCGUGGAGGAUGACACAUUUCGGUGCGUAAACUCCUUUUAUAUAGGAAGAUAAUGACGGUACUAUAUGAAUAAGCGCCGGCUAACUCCGUGCCAGCAGCCGCGGUAAUACGGAGGGCGCAAGCGUUACUCGGAAUCACUGGGCGUAAAGAGCGUGUAGGCGGAUAGAUAAGUCAGGAGUGAAAUCCUAUGGCUCAACCAUAGAACUGCUCUUGAAACUGUCUAUCUAGAAUAUGGGAGAGGUAGAUGGAAUUUCUGGUGUAGGGGUAAAAUCCGUAGAGAUCAGAAGGAAUACCGAUUGCGAAGGCGAUCUACUGGAACAUUAUUGACGCUGAGACGCGAAAGCGUGGGGAGCAAACAGGAUUAGAUACCCCCGUAGUC